UUUUAUUGAUGUUAAUUAUUAAGAUAAAGAACAUUUUCUGAUAAAAUAUUUCUUUAUUUGUAGGUGGUGUUCUUCACUUCUCUUGUAUGCAUGGUGUUGUGUACUAUGUUAACGUUCUGUUUUGGAUGGAGUCCGCAAGAGAUCAUGGCGAUGGGCUGUUGAGCUUCAAGUAUCUGCCUACCUGCUACAUAUCUGAUAUAGCAGGACAGGUUGCUCGCCACACCAACAACCGGACCAAACAGCGUUUUUUUACAAUCACAUGAUGGAAGACUUUGUUCUCCGACACCAGAAAAUGUAGAGAAAGCGACCCAGAAGGAGUUAAACAUUCAGUUGGAGUGAGUAAAGAAGCUGAGGUCUCCAUUGCCACAGCAUACAAGCAACAGUGUUGAUCGAAUUACAGUACAACAUGCAAUCACAGGGACAUGUGAAAGAUACUCUCUGUAUGAUCAAUUUCACCAAAAAAAUCAGAAAAGACUAGAAGAGAAGCUGAGAGGUCUCAACGUUUGCCCUGACCUUAGAAAAGAGGUCAACUCUGCUGUUGCAGAACAGUUCAAUCGAGAGCUUGCUUCUGUUAGAUACUCGCUGUGCCAAAUGACAGAAACCCAUUUUAAACAGACUUUGAGGGUCUUGAUUCAUCUGCAUAAUGACAAGAUAAACAGCCACUUUAAAAAAGAAAUGGAGAUGUGCAAUGCCCAGCUGUCUGUUGGACUUCAUGGGAUGCUGGGACUUCAGCCUCCUGAGUGGAUGAAAACCACCAUAUCUCCACAUUCUACCCCAAACAACAACCCUGACAGCAAUGUAACAUACAGCUUUGUGGACCAGCGUUACACUGUUGAUGAUAAAAGCAAGGAAAAACUCAAGACUUUGUUGUCUGGACAUCGGGAUGAAAACCAAGCCUUUGCACAUGCUACGAGACGGUUUCCUGUGUCGAUAAAAGACAUAGCAAGUGUGUGCCCCCGAGAACUGUUGGAAAAGUUGUCUUUGGUUAUGUCAUGGUUGACAUA